GCCGUCCUAGCUCAGGGGUAGAGCAACUGUUUUGUAAACAGUAGGUCGUCGGUUCAAAUCCGACGGACGGCU
rnacentral:tRNA from 1 species